rnacentral:rRNA from 1 species
UACAGAGGUGCCGAGCGUUAGGCGGAAUCACUGGGCUUAAAGCGUGUGUAGGCGGAUUUUUAAGUACCUUGUGAAAUCCCAUGGCUUAACCAUGGAACUGCUGGGUAUACUGGAUAUCUUGAGCCAACUAGGGGCUACCGGAACAAAUGGUGGAGCGGUGGAAUGCGUAGAUAUCAUUUGGAACGCCAAUGGUGAAAACAGGUAGCUGGGGUUGUGCUGACGCUGAGACACGAAAGCCAGGGGAGCGAACGGG